rnacentral:misc_RNA from 1 species
AUUCGUGGGAGUCUUGUGCAAAGCGUAAACCGAUUUUCGAGUAAAAAAGAAAAGAUAUACUUGAAGAAACGGUGCUGAAUGAUGCACCAUGCGAAAUGAUGACACCACUUUCUCUAAGGGCAUAUCACAGAGGCAGCUAUAAAUGAUCAUAAAAGGCGACCUUAGUGAUGGUGCAGCUACCAGAACUAUAUGAUGUCACCACAUUUAGCUGAAGAUGCGCCUUCAUAAAGCCAGUUAAUUAAAUGAUUAUUUGUGAUAUUUGCUCGAUAUUGUCAUAACUAUGGGAAAACAAAGUAAAACAAAAAUUCCACGCUUUAUCUAUGGUGACGAUGUGUUCCAUACUAUGAACAGUUGUUUGUACACGCCAAGGAAAAAAGGUCAACAGGCUAAAAGGGUGGUGCUACUUAUCUUUUUAAACACUGUAUAUAUAUAUAUCAUAUAUAUACAUAGGUUAAGAUGCUGAUAAGAAGAAAAUUAGAGGAUUUUUUUUUAUAAGAAUGGUAGCAGUGACAAUUGAUAAUUUUAAACAUAUCAGUGUAAUCAUAUUAAGUUUAUGAAAAUAAUCAUAAUGAUUCACUACCACUAUUACAAUCUGAUAAUGAUAAAGAGCAUGCAACUGUUAUUGGAAACGUUGAUGAAAAUAACAAGGCAUUUAACUCAAGGACGAUUUUUAAUAGUUAUUCUUUUCAUAUCAAUAUGAAUAGAUAUGAUCAAUAGAUAUAAUAAUUAACGUGCAGAUGGCUACUUUUGAGAACUGCAAUUUAUGUAAUUUUCGUAAUUCGUGCGUAUAUGAUAUACUUCUAUGUAUUCAUACAUUCGUAUCUAUACAAUAUAUACCAAAGGGGCAAGUCAGAGAGUUUAAAACAUUCUUCCCCUAAAAUACCCAGCGUGGCAUUUAAGGACGCAUUAUUUUCCAAACUUCUUUGCUCAUUUAACCUUGCGACUAAAACAGAGAUAACCCAGCAGCGAGUGUAGCUUCGUUUCGGCCAUAAGAAGACAUCACUGCGUCAUCUCUCAUCGGCAGAGCAGUCGGUGAAUCCUUGUGGACAUGAGGACUUUGGCCAUCGCUGUCGCCCUCGUGGCGUUUGUCGCUGUCAGUGAGAGCGGUAAUCCUGAAGCUGAUGCUGAGCCCAGCCGCAAUGGAGGCGGCUUUGAAGGCCAUGGACUCGUGUCCUACAGACCCAUGACCAGAAGCUACAGUUACGGACACUGGAAGAGGAGUGCGGAGGCUGAGGCCGAGUCCGAGGCUGAGUCCGAGGCUGAUCCAUCCCGCAUCGGAUACUGCUAUGGCAGCUAUGGGCACGUAUCCUUCAGGCCAGUGUACAGCAGCUACGGUUACGGACGCUGGAAGAGGAGUGCUGAGGCUUAGCCUGUAGCUGAGGCUGAGGCUGAGACCGAGGCUGAUCCCUCCCGCUUCGGAUAUGGCUAUGGCGGCUAUGGGCGCGUGUGCUUUAGGCCGGUGUACAGCAGCUACGGUUACGGACGCUGGAAGAGGAGUGCUGAGGCUGAGCCUGGAUUCAGCUUCGGUCGCAGCUUUGGAGGUCACGGCCGCUUCGGAGGCUACAGGGGCUAUGGAGGCUACGGCGGAAGCUUUGGGGGCCAUGGUCGUUUCUA